ACCAUUUCCCAACGUCCCAUUCCCAACCCUAGUCUCUCCAAAACAACCCACUUCCAACACUGACUCUCCAAAACGGCAAACACGCGCAGCACUCCCAUCAGGCCAUCACCCUUCCUCUCAUCGUCAUUGAGCUCCUCCUUCACUUCUGUCCCGCCACCGGCAAGCAACCGCCGCCGUUGCAACUUUGAGCUUUGAAGCCACUGUCGCAACGUCGUUCUCCUCCAUCGUGCAGCCACGCUUGAGCUUCAAAACCACCGUCACCGGCCUCGCCUCCUGCCUCCGUCACGCAGCCACUGUCUCGCCGGCGCCAGUUCUGUUCCAUCGCAUCAGCCCUUCGGUCGUUCCCUGUUCCUUUCUUGCUACUGAUCUGCUCUGCUCUGUUCUAGCAUUUAGUUCUAGCAAGCAUCACUGGGAUGCAGAAAAUUUCCGUGCUGAUGACGAUCGUAAUACCGGGGAUCGCAAAAAUGUUUGUUGGUGAAGUUGUUGAAACAGCUAGAAUAGUGAUGCUAGAGAGGAAUCAGGACCAAUUCGUCUAUGUCACUUGAGAGAAGCAUAUAGACGAUUAAAGCUUGAAGGAAGAAUAUUUAAAAGACCAAUGUUGAGGCUCUUCCGGUAAAUUUAUGAAUUGUGAAUGUAGUGGAUGAUGUCACUGGUUUGCAGCAGUGUCUUGUAGGUAGAUUUGGUACUCGCUACUCAGUACCGUCAUGGCCUCAUUCGUGCAUCCUGAUAUUUGUUACUGUUUGUAGGUAAAUUUGGAAUAUUUUCCCAUUCCUUUAUCAAAUAUUAAAUUUGUGAACACAAUAAUUAUAGGCCUCAACGUCUGUUCUAUCUAUGUUGAAGUUGAAAUGCAUAUCUGUGCUGCAAUGACAGAUGUUGUAUAUUGCAUUGCAAAGCUUACUGUGUUAAAUAGAUAGCUAGCUUGAAUAA